rnacentral:lncRNA from 1 species
GCGUAUGUGUAUGUUUUUAAAUAAAGUAAUAAUGAAUAAAUAUAUCUUCUAUACGAGAUAAUUUAGUAAAUUUUGAAUUUAGAUUUUCAUAUUGUCGGAUUAUUGCCACUAAAAAUGCACGAGCUGCUACAAAGUUUGAUCUCCUGAGGGUUACAUAAGAAGCAAUUACAUGUUUCAGUCCCUUUUUUCUCUUGUAGUGGAUCCAGUUCAUAUUAAAUACGAGACGAGACGAGACGAGACGAGACUCCAUCCAUUUUUCCCUUUUUUAUGAAUUCGUCAAUCACCCGUCGUAUAAUCACAGAAAAAAAUUAAAAGGUGAAAAUCUCAUAUUCGGACUUAUCUUGUAAGUAGAGGUGAAGUUUUAACAGGUUAAUGAAAUAAGAAUUAUAAAUCCAGCAUGGGCUUGUGACAUC